rnacentral:misc_RNA from 1 species
AAAUUUCCAGUUUAAGAUUUCUGUGGUUGUUUUCACAGCAAAAUGCAUUUGUAAAGCAACUAGCUAAUCGUUUAGAGAGCAUUUCAUUAGAAUAGGAUGGCCAAUGUUGGUCGACUAUCUCCCAAUGGGGAUAAAGAGGAGCAGUUUUUGGAGGACUACUUCACAUGUAUCAGUCGUUGUGAACACGACAAAGCCAAAGAACUAGCUGACAAAGAACGGGAUCUCUAUAAGGCAACCUUCGGUUCAUCGUGGGGUUUAUUUUUGUUGUCACUUUCACACUUUGCUGUAGCAGAAAAGAACUACAUGUCUCUUGGAUUUCUGGAGCAAAAAGGCUUCUUCACUAGAUCCAAAGAUACAUUGAAGAGCGGGUAUCAGUCACUGAUGCAUGACUUGAGACGAGUAGAAGAAGCUGUGAAGUCGGCGGAAGAACAGAGCUUUGGAAUGACUGCUAGCACGCUGGAAUUUGAGAAACUACUGGCACAUCUGUGUGAUCAGCUCUGUUUCUUCACACAGGCCAGACAAGAGACAAUCCAUUUUUAUGAACAGGUCCACAUCAUGGGAAUGACAAAACAUAUAAAUUUUGAGGAUCUCAGCAUGGUCAUUGAAGAUAUCGUCUCAGUGCACAGCAAGAACUUUCAUCACCCGAUUCUGGCUCCUCUCAAAUCAGUGUUUGGGUAGUUUCUGUUUAUAUUUGACAUAAUUUAACAGCUUAAAAUUAGAAUGUUAAACACCUACCCAUAUUGAUAAUGAAUGUCAUAGAAUAAAUCCCAAGGUUAAGGUGUAAUUAAACACAAAUGUCUAUAGUGUAAUAAAUUCAAAGAAUGCCAGGAUGUUUGAUCAACAUACGGUUACCGAUCUACUUAGUUAUCAAGUCCCUUUGCAUCAAUACUUGUAGAUAUGAGUGUGACAUUUUACAUCAUCUAUUGGUCGCCCAAACCACGAUGUCAGAAUGGCAGUUUCUUACAUCCCUUUUACACAUUCACGAAGCCCAUACCAAGCUCACUAGCUGGGGGGCGUUAAUUCAACUGAGAGAGACCAAGAAGUCGACCUUUGGGGGCUCUAGUAAGCAUGCCUCACCUCCCGCUCUCUACCCAUGGCUUAACAGAUUUAAAAAUCUCCUCUUGUCUAAAUUUAGCAUUUACUUCUAUGACAUAUUACAAAGACAGUCGUCUCCCCCAGAAAUGAAGUCUUUGAUUAGCAAAACACCAGAUGAUUUUGUAACAAGGAUACAGACAUUUCACAAGAAGACGGAUGCUUGCCAUGUAGCUCUGGUGCUGAACACUCAGGGUCUAGAUGGUGUCUAUCCUGGGGGAUACCAAUGCCCGGGUAGAAUAGUGGAGACCCCCCAAGGACUCAAUUCAUUUCCGACCAUUUUCUCUUACCCAGGGGAGAGGCCAGCCAAUCAUUUCCCUUCUGUGGUGAUGAUGCUUACGGAAGGGCGUGAGAGAGAGGAUCCAACAGCUUAUGCUCAGGACAAGAUACACUACCUGUACGACAAAGGCUCUCACUCCUCCUACUUCUACACACAGGUCGACGUCCGCAUCAGUCUGGUCGUCAUAUUCGAGAGCAAGAAAUCCGAAAAGGACUCGUACGUUAAUACAUUCAUGAACGACAUUGCCACACAUUUAAGAUGUACAAAAUUUUUCAUUUCACUGAAAGCAGGAUCUAAAUGAGAAUUGAAACAGAGGAGAAAAAGUUUAUUGUUUGUUACAAAAAUGUGCAAUAUUGUAAAUAAUAAAAUACUUUUAAUAAUC